UCCAGUCUCCUCGGCUUGCUUUUCUCGGAUCCCAAUUGCUACCGCGAUUUCUUUGAAAAUUCGACGCUUGACCCCGCCUCGCCUCGGAGGUAGACUCUGAUUCUUUGCGUUCUUCGCUUUCGGCUCUUCGAUCAUCAUUUUCUUCAAGUCUGUAUCCAUAGCGUCGAAGCUAGCGAGAGAGAGAGAGAGAGAGACACAGAGAGAGAGAGAGAGAGAGAGAGAGAGAG